rnacentral:tRNA from 1 species
GCCGAAGUGGCGGAAUUGGCAGACGCACUUGACUCAAAAUCAAGCGAUCUCUGAUUGUGCCGGUUCGAGUCCGGCCUUCGGCACCA